GGAUAAACGCUGGCGGCGUGCAUGAGGCAUGCAAGUCGAACGGACUUCUCGGGCUUGCUCGAGAAGUUAGUGGCGGACGGCUGAGUAACGCGUAGGUAAGACCUACCCCGAAGUGGGGAAUAACUGCCCGAAAGGGUCGGCUAAUACCGCAUACGAUCAAAUCAUUCAUUUGAUUGAUCAAAGCAGCAAUGCGCUUUGGGGAGGGGCCUGCGUCCGAUUAGCUCGUGGUGGGGUAAUGGCUCACCAAGGCGACGAUCGGUAGGUGGUCUGAGAGGACGAUCACCCAGACUGGGACUGAGACACGGCCCAGACUCCUACGGGAGGCAGCAGUC
rnacentral:rRNA from 1 species